rnacentral:lncRNA from 1 species
CAUGGACUUUUGGUGCACUAUGUUUUUCACUUCAUUGCGACGUAGCGAAAAAUAAAUCAACCGGCUGGACCAACGACUGAAAAGUGGAAGUGGAAGCUUUACCUACGAGUUAGAGGCAAUAGCGUGAGGAACAUUAAAAAAAUUGUAAACUGAGCGGAAAAGUGUUCCAGCGAUCAAUUGCAAGAAUAUUUCGACAGUUCGAGAAUACACACACAAAGAUGGCAGCAGACUGGCCACCAAGUAAGAUGACAAAGAUGUGAAGGAGGAAACUCUGCCAGAUAGGUGUACCUGGAGUCCAUGUGAUGUUUGCAUUUUGGGUUCAAAGAGGUGAAUGCACUAACCACCAGAAUAUUGGCGUCAUCACAUGAGCACCCCAAUGGUCAACAUAUUGAUGCUCUGCAAAGAGUACAAGAGGAGACAGACCUCAAACUGCAGAAGUAGAAGGCGGUAUCCAGGGAGUGUCUAACGAAGAUCAAAGGCCUCUCUUGUGUGGGUGGUACGGAUGCAAAGGAUUGCCUGAAAAGAAUCAUGCGGCGAAUCUUGACCGACGGGGUUUUAUAACUGUUAAGGCCAAAGAGGAGAAAGGUCUGCUUUCAAAGGUGCGGACCAUGAUAUGCAAAGCUGUACAGAAGAACAGUGGGUGGAUGGAGGCUUCAGAUAACAUCAUCGAAAAAAGCAGCAGCAGAAAGAGUCGGGGUAGAAAGCAGAGAGAACAAAACUAAAUGCUAGCAUAUUACAAGGAAGUGACAACUGCGUUUCUGUGGCCUGUGAAUUUUCUGGAAUUUACUGUACUAUUAUGGCAGAAUUGUGUAGCUACGUUUCCUCGUUGGAAUUUGGCGUGCUGAACAGCUGUAUAUGUUUUAUUCAUUUUUGGAAAAUCAUCUUGGAUUAUCCAGCUUUUUGCUGCACUGUAUCAACCUCUGUGUACCAAACUGUGUGUUAAUUCCCCCUCCCUUCCCCGGCCCCCGCAACCAGUUCAUCACCUAUUUUCUGAUGGAAAAAAAGAGACUUACAAGAAACUGAAAUUAAAAACUGUGACAUCGUUAUUAUCCUCAUCUUCAAUUAAGGGCAGGCACCUGAGGUAAAAAUUUUCUUUUAUGUUUUAUGGGAUAAUUUUUGUAGUCACCUUAAUUUUAAAAAAAAUUUGGUCUACACAUCUAUACUACACUAGUUGCCCCUCCGUAUUCGCAAAAAAAACGCACUCUUCUU